UACAGAGACUGCAAGCGUUAUUCGGAAUCAUUGGGCGUAAAGAGCGUGUAGGCGGUUCGGUAAGUCCGCUGUGAAAGUCCAGGGCUCAACCCUGGAAUGCCAGUGGAAACUGCCGAGCUAGAGUCCGGAAGAGGCGAGUGGAAUUCCUGGUGUAGCGGUGAAAUGCGCAGAUAUCAGGAGGAACACCAAUGGCGAAAGCAGCUCGCUGGGACGGUACUGACGCUGAGACGCGAAAGCGUGGGGAGCAAACAGG
rnacentral:rRNA from 1 species